rnacentral:rRNA from 1 species
ACUAGAGUAGCACUCGCAUAUCAAUAAGCGGAGGAAAAGAAACUAACAAGGAUUCCCCUAGUAACGGCGAGUGAAGCGGGAAGAGCUCAAAUUUGAAAUCUUAAAGGGUUUCCCUUUACGAAUUGUAGUUUAAAGAAGUGUUUUCUGUUGAGGUUUUGGUAAAAGUUCUUUGGAAUAGGACAUCAUAGAGGGUGAGAAUCCCGUAUUUGACCUUUACUUUCAACUUUCGUGAUUACACUUUCAAAGAGUCGGAUUGUUUGGGAAUGCAGUCCAAAAUGGGUGGUAAAUUUCAUCUAAAGCUAAAUAUUGGCGAGAGACCGAUAGCGAACAAGUACCGUGAGGGAAAGAUGAAAAGAACUUUGAAAAGAGAGUUAAACAGUACGUGAAAUUGUCAAAAGGGAAGCGUUUGACACCAGUGUUGUUUUUCUGAAAAUCAAUUAAAGAACUGUUUAUGCUAAGCUGUUUAGACUUUAUCAGCUAAUCUGUUUAGUUUUGAGCUUUUCUUUAAUGCACUUUUCAGUUAACAAGUCAACAUCAAUUUCUUUUGCUGUAAAAAAGCUUGAGGAAGGUGGCUUGAGAUUCGUCUUAAGUGUUUAUAGCCUCUUGCCUAUGCAGUCGGAGAGAUUGAGGUCUGCAGCGUAGAUCCUUCGGGGCUAAAUGCAUUUGUGCUAAGUUAUAGCAUUUUAUAGACAACUUGUUGACUAUGAUUUGUCUUGUAGCUUGCUCGCUUAUGUUAUUUUACCUACGCUUAGGAUGUUGAGCGCAUGUCUCUCUCU